CUUAACAUUCCAAAGGAAUAUACCCAUGCUAGUGGGAGUCAUUUACAUUUAGGCAUUUCUGUUUUCAUUAUUUUUAAACUGAGGUAUAAUCACUUACCAAAAAUGUACAUUUAAGUGUUUAAUGUGUUUUGACAAAUGUAUAUACCUAUGUACCAAUACCUCAGUCAAGAUACAGAACAUUUCCAUCACCCUAGAAAGUUCUCUCCUUGCCUUUUUUGUUUGUUUUUUUGUUUUUCAAUUUUGUUGUUGUUGUUGUUCUGAGACAGGGUCUCACUCUGUCACCCAGGCUGGAGUGCAGUGGUGUGAUCUUCCAGUGUUUAAGGGAUCCUCCUGCUUUAGCCCCCCAAGUGGCUGGGACCACAGGCACGUGCCACCAUGCCUGGCUAAUUUUUUGUAUUUUUUUUUGGUGCCAGGACUAGAUUUUUAAUAUUUUGCUCAUUCCACUAUCCUAGGCUGCAUGUACACAAGGAAAGAGCCAACUUGUAUUCCAAAAAUUCAAUUUCCUUGUUUCUUCUCUGAAAAUUCACAGGUUACCCAUUCUUUCCAUCCUCUGGCAUAGUGUUAAGCACUGAAAACAUACAUCAAAUAGUGCUAUAAACAUUUUUUUUUUGAGAUGGAGUCUCACUCUGUUGCCAGAUCGGAGUGCAGUGGUGCGAUCUCGGCUCACUGCAACCUCCGCUUCCCAGGUUCAAGCGAUUCUCCUGCCUUAGCCUUCCAAGUAGCUGGGACUACAGGAGUGUGCCACCAUGCCCAGCUAAUUUUUGUAUUUUUAGUAGUGACAGGGUUUCACCAUGUUGGCCAGGGUGGUCUUGAUCUCCUGACCUCGUGAUCCACCUGCCUCGGC
rnacentral:lncRNA from 10 species